rnacentral:lncRNA from 1 species
GCCAAUUUUUCUGUGUUGUGAGCCCAUCUUAAGAACAAGUUAAAUUUUUAGGUAGCUGUAAGACAGCUACAAGAGUCCCACCUUAUUGCAAAUGUGACAUUAGUGAUGCUCUGAUAAUCUGAGACACUUACUGCAGUGCAUCAUGGUCAGCAGUUAGCAGUGCUACAGGCAGGACGAGUCAUGGAGGCAAUAUCUAAAAGGGGUCGUCCGCAGCCGUCCGAUCGACACCACCCUGACCGUCUGAUACUCUGAUUAUCUCUCUCAAUUGGACCUUACUACGUGAUGAUGACUUUAGUAUUUUUUUUUUAACUGACAUCAGACUUUAUUUUUUCUUGCGAGAAACUGACACCAGACUUUAGUUGGAUGGCCGACCGCGCGCUCAUCUCUUCCUCAUACUCCACUAGUUUAAACCGAAAUUUAUUGGGCUUUUUCCGAAGGUAGUACGGGCAGUACUCCAACAACACAGUGUUCUCUAUUUUCCGUUUUUAAUUUCUUUAUUAUACUUACACGCAAUAAUACUUUUUGCUUACUUGGCACGUCAUCAAAUUAGGCACACCAUGUCCGCGUAUAUACGCGGCAGUCUUUUUACAUGGCCGUAAAAAAAACAUACCCUUCCGCGUAUAUGAGUACGCCUCUUCCGCGAGCUAGGAGCGUGACGAGCUUGGUGCACGUCGUCCGGCCGUACGUCCGCGCCGGUGGUACGCGAGGAGCUUCGCGUCCGUGACGAGCUGCGGCCUGCGGCUCCGAUCCUGACGUUCUGUCGUGAGU